rnacentral:lncRNA from 1 species
AGAGAGAGAGAGGCAGAGACACAGGCAGAGGGAGAAGCAGGCUCCAUGCACCGGGAGCCCGACGUGGGAUUCGAUCCCGGGUCUCCAGGAUCGCGCCCUGUGCCAAAGGCAGGCGCCAAACCGCUGCGCCAUCCAGGGAUCCCUGUCUCAUCAGUUCUGAAAAUGGGUUUGGCUGAAUCUAGAUCACCUUCUGUAAACACAGGGAAAUUCCUAGGGGAGACCAAGUGCUAGUCCAUUCCUUCAAGGUUUUCUUUGGGUCUUUGGGUUGGUUCUUCCUCUGAAAGUUCAAAAUCACCUGUGAUUCUGUUGAGGGCUGGAGGUAACCUACUUACCUAAGCUGUUACUCAACAGCCUGGGGAAGAAGAAAUACUUUAGCAGUGGGAGGGACCGUUUAGCGCCUUCAGGUUAUCUAAGGGACUAAUUUAUGCUGACCUUUAUUGUAUGCAAGAAAUAGUCAUAGACUCUGAAGAGAUUAUUUAAUUUCAUUAUUGGAGAUCAUACACAGGCACUGUUUGUUUCACAUUAAUUACUUUCAUUGAAGGUUACCAAGUGAUACCUUCUUAACAUCAGCCCUAAUAAAAUUAGCAUAAACUUUGUUCUUUGUCAAAAGGCUACAGCAAAUGAUCUCUGGAGGUCUUUUCUGUCUCUAAGAUAGGUCUACAAUUCUUGGAUUCCUUCUUGUAAUUCUUCUGGAAUGACUUGGACUCUUUUCCAGUCUACUUGUGAUAGACUUCUUGUACAGCCUGGAGAGAGCAGUGGCCUGCAUGGUCUGUCCUCCUCCCUUCAGUCUAAGGCUCUCUGGUGACUUGGAGGACUCGUAUUUAUAGUUACAGUUAUAGUCUAAUAUUGGGACUCUCCACAGACUGCUGCUCGGAGAAGUUCAAGGUCUCUGAGACGGUUUCAAUGAAAGAAUUCCAUCAAAAAGAAUUUGCUGAAUUGUGAUUGCAAACAAAAUAGCUUUGUGGGGACAAAAUGUACUCCUGACAAGAGAGCCUUAUGUUUAUUUUCCAGCCUCUCCCAGUGCUUCACUUCUAAUCUCUCCACAGAAGGAAACAUUUCAACAGAGAACCCUGUGGAAAUUGAGACCAACUAUCUUCUCGAAGUCCUGAACUCCCCAUUCCUACUUCUGAAGGCAUCCUUUUGUUCACAGCAGCUAAAGCUAGCCCGAAGUCCAGUUCCUUGCGAUGGUGGUUCUGUUUGGAUGUUGGAUACACACCAUUCCAAGCAUUGUGGUCUCCAAAUACUGUCAUCCAGGGCCCUGCAGCAACUGAACAAGGAGAAGAUACCCUGUUGUGUCAUCCUGAUCUGAGAUAAUACAUAGGAUGAAAGCACAUGGUUAAGUUAUCUACCAACCUGGCAGGAAUGGAUUCCAGAUAUGGAACACCAUGGCCUCACUCUUUGCCAGUAUACUCCUGGAAGGGCAAGCCUAUGGUGAGCUCCUUAGACUUUGUUAGUGGGUGAAAGCCUUGGGUUUCAGGAGAAAGUAUUUGGAUGGCAUUUUAAGAAGCCUUUUCAUUUUCAGUAGAGUAGAAAAGUCUGCCUCUGAGCCUGUGGUACGAUCUUUUCUCUAGAUGAACACAAUGACUGUCUCACAUUUUUUCUGAUAUUUAUUCUGCAAAUCAGCUGCAUGAGCCCCUGCCACUUUCCUGAAUAAGCUUCCAGGCAUUACCUGCAUGCUGUGUUCCUGUGGAGGGAUGGCAGUAAUCUCUGCUAAGAUAAACUGGAGCUUCUGUGGAUAAAGCGUAAAUGCAGUGAAGUGUGUGUGGCUGUAAGAUUUAAUGCCUCUACAGGUAAUUUUUUUGGAAGGGGGAUCUGGCAUUUAAUCAAAUCCAGAGUCAUUAUGUAAAUUUAAUCACCUUGCAACACACUAGUAAUUUUAUUAUCUCCUUUUCAUUUGACAGUGCUUAGGUACAAGUUGAGCUUGGAAUUCCAGAGGUAGAACACUGCUGAUUGGAGGCAUAUGAAGGAAAAUGUACUGUGGAAAUGAGAUAAAACUUUUAUUCUUGCUAUUGAUUGUCAUCUAUGUAUGUGUACAGGUGUCCAACAAAAGGUUUCUAGAAUAAAGUGCAUCUGUUUAAGGUUCUCUACCUUUCU